CUCAGUAUGCGCGCUGAUGGUUUCUGGGGAGCGAAAGGCCUCGGGAUUAAAAGGGAACACGGUGAAGUGUAGCCAACAGGCGCUAAUUCCGUGACUGCCCCCGCAACUGUAAGCGGUUAGCGAAGCCAAGCGUGCCACUGGAGAGAUCCGGGAAGGCUGGCUGAGCACGGACCCGCGAGUCAGGAGACCUGCCAUUAUGUUUCACUUCAA
rnacentral:ncRNA from 2 species